rnacentral:rRNA from 1 species
AUUAGAUACCCUGGGUAGUCCACGCCGUAAACGAUGAUUACUAGGUGUCGGUGGGUAUGGACCCACCGGUGCCGCAGCAAACGCAAUAAGUUAUCCACCUGGGGAGUACGACCGCAAGGUUGAAACUCAAAGGAAUUGACGGGGACCCGCACAAGCAGUGGAUUAUGUGGUUUAAUUCGAAGCAACGCGAAGAACCUUACCAGCACUUGACAUCCUACUAACGAAAUGGAGACAUAUUAGGUGCCCUUCGGGGAAAGUAGAGACAGGUGGUGCAUGGUUGUCGUCAGCUCGUGUCGUGAGAUGUUGGGUUAAGUCCCGCAACGAGCGCAACCCCUGCCAUUAGUUGCUACGCAAGAGCACUCUAAUGGGACCGCUACCGACAAGGUGGAGGAAGGUGGGGACGACGUCAAAUCAUCAUGCCCCUUAUGUGCUGGGCUACACACGUAAUACAAUGGUCAUCAACAAAGAGAAGCAAUACCGUGAGGUGGAGCAAAACUCAAAAAAUGAUCUCAGUUCGGACUGUAGGCUGCAACUCGCCUACACGAAGUUGGAAUUGCUAGUAAUCGUGGAUCAGCAUGCCACGGUGAAUACGUUCCCGGGUCUUGUACACACCGCCCGUCACACCAUGGGAGCUGGUAACACCCGAAGUCAGUAGUCUAACCGCAAGGAGGACGCUGCCGAAGGUGGGAUUAGCGACUGGGGUGAAGUCGUAACAAGGUACC